rnacentral:rRNA from 1 species
GUGGGGAAUAUUGGACAAUGGGCGAAAGCCUGAUCCAGCCAUGCCGCGUGUGUGAAGAAGGUCUUCGGAUUGUAAAGCACUUUAAGUUGGGAGGAAGGGCAGUAAGUUAAUACCUUGCUGUUUUGACGUUACCGACAGAAUAAGCACCGGCUAACUUCGUGCCAGCAGCCGCGGUAAUACGAAGGGUGCAAGCGUUAAUCGGAAUUACUGGGCGUAAAGCGCGCGUAGGUGGUUUUGUAAGUUGGAGGUGAAAUCCCCGGGCUCAACCUGGGAACUGCCUCCAAAACUGCAUGACUAGAGGACGGUAGAGGGUAGUGGAAUUUCCUGUGUAGCGGUGAAAUGCGUAGAUAUAGGAAGGAACACCAGUGGCGAAGGCGACUACCUGGACUGAUACUGACACUGAGGUGCGAAAGCGUGGGGAGCAAACAGGAUUAGAAACCCUAGUAGUCC